GUCAGGAUGGCCGAGCGGCCCAAGGCGCUGCGUUCAGGUCGCAGUCCACUCUGUGGGCGUGGGUUCGAAUCCCACUCCUUACA
rfam:Schistosoma rodhaini strain Burundi genome assembly, scaffold: SROB_contig0008811